UCCUACGGGAGGCAGCAGUCGGGAAUUUUGGGCAAUGGGGGAAACCCUGACCCAGCAACGCCGCGUGAAGGAUGAAGUAUUUCGGUAUGUAAACUUCGAAAGAAUAGGAAGAAUUAAUGACGGUACUAUUUAUAAGGUCCGGCUAACUACGUGCCAGCAGCCGCGGUAAU
rnacentral:rRNA from 2 species